rnacentral:rRNA from 1 species
UCCUACGGGGGGCAGCAGUGGGGAAUAUUGGACAAUGGGCGCAAGCCUGAUCCAGCCAUGCCGCGUGGGUGAAGAAGGCCCUAGGGUUGUAAACCCCUUUCAGCGGGGAAGAUAAUGACGGUACCCGCAGAAGAAGCCCCGGCUAACUCCGUGCCAGCAGCCGCGGUAAUACGGAGGGGGCUAGCGUUGUUCGGAAUUACUGGGCGUAAAGCGCGCGUAGGCGGACCUGCAAGUCGGGGGUGAAAGCCCGAGGCUCAACCUCGGAACUGCCUUCGAUACUGCGGGUCUCGAGUCCGGGAGAGGUGAGUGGAAUUCCUAGUGUAGAGGUGAAAUUCGUAGAUAUUAGGAAGAACACCAGUGGCGAAGGCGGCUCACUGGCCCGGUACUGACGCUGAGGCGCGAAAGCGUGGGGAGCAAACAGGAUUAGAUACCCGGGUAGUCUU